AUACAGAGGGUGCAAGCGUUAAUCGGAAUUACUGGGCGUAAAGCGCGCGUAGGCGGUUUGUUAAGUUGGAUGUGAAAGCCCCGGGCUUAACCUGGGAGGGUCAUUCAAAACUGGCAGACUAGAGUGUGAUAGAGGGUAGUGGAAUUCCUAGUGUAGCGGUGAAAUGCGUAGAGAUUAGGAGGAACACCAGUGGCGAAGGCGACUGCCUGGACCAACACUGACGCUGAGGUGCGAAAGCGUGGGUAGCGAACAGAAUUAGAAACCCUAGUAGUCC
rnacentral:rRNA from 1 species